rnacentral:rRNA from 1 species
CAUGUCCUUAUGUUUAAAAUUUAAGGUCUAGCCUGCCCAGUGAUUAUUUAAAUGGCCGCGGUAUAUUGACCGUGCAAAGGUAGCAUAAUAAUUAGUCUUUUAAUUGUAGACUGGAAUGAAUGGCUGGACGAGAUAAUUUCUGUCUCUUUCUUAAUUUGGUAGAAUUUAAUUUUUGAGUAAGAAAGCUUAAAUAUAUUAGAAAGACGAGAAGACCCUAUAGAGUUUUAUAUUUUUAAAAAUUUAAGAUUUUAGAAUUUAUUAUUGAAUUUUAUUGAUAUAUUUUGUUGGGGUGACAAAAAGAUAAAUAUAACUCUUUUUAUUUUUUAACACUGAUAAGUGAAUUUAUGAUCCUUUUUAAUGAUUAUAAGAUUAAAUUACCUUAGGGAUAACAGCGUUAUUUUUUUAGAGAGUUCAAAUCGAUAAAAGAAAUUGCGACCUCGAUGUUGGAUUAAAGUUUAUUUUGGGAGCAAAAGCUUAAAUAUUAGGUCUGUUCGACCUUUAAAACUUUACAUGAUCUGAGU